UUUUAAAAAGCAGAGACAAGAAAAAGCAUCAAGAAGAGUACAUAUCACAAAUCUAUUUAUUUAAAAAAAAUUAUCAUGAUUUAUUAUAUUAACUGCUAUAAAAACAAACCAAAAAAAAAAAAAGACAAUAUGGAAGCCUUCCUGGGACAAGUUCGGCGGUGUGCAUCAAUGCUACUUCCCGUGGUGUAAAGUUGGGAACAUUUGGCACGAAGCAUUAUUAUUAUUAUUAGUAUUAUUUUUAUACAGCCGCUUGCUGAGGAUCGCAAAACUGAUCCUGAAAACCCCAGACAGCAGAAAGAAGCACACACACCUUCCUGGAAAGAAAAGUCACCAUCAAUCAGGCCAAAACACCAACUGUGUCCAGCAUUCCUCCCAACUCUCAUUCCCAAGCGGAGGACGUGUUAGGAACUGAUUAUCCAGGCUCCGUUUGGUUUUCCAAAAAUCGACGUUCUGCUCCUGGGUUUUGGAUCUGGGUCAAAUUCGGCCCUACAAAUGACAACGUUUGACAGAAUAUUCCUACAGAGUUGUGGUUGGAGUAAAACUUCUUGUCUCAGAAGAACAACAAAAAAAAUUCUUAAUCCAACGGACAACAGGUAAAUAAAGUAAUCAUCUCCUCAUCUUGGAGUGUUAUAGCUCUGACUGAGAGUGCAUCGUUCUCUGAGCUGUAACCUGAUUAUUGCUCUUAAAUAUUUGAUUAAAAUUCACUUUAAAAACAUCUCUUUAUACACCAACAGUUUCCUCUUAGUUCAAAAAGAGGCUGGUUGCCUCCUGGUGGGUCUGGACUGAAACUCUGUCACGUUAUGUUGUUGCUGGAGCUGUGAGAGUGUGUUCACACACACCACUCAACAUGAUGUGCCAAUCCCCACAAGUUCAUUCAACUGCUAAUGAAAAAAACAAACAAAAACAGAAAACAGACUCAUCAGGUUUUGUUGCAUAAACUGAUUCAACCAACUUGCGAAUACAUUUUUGCCCCUCAUUUGCUCUUCUCUCAUAAAAUUAAGCACAAAAAGAAACAUUCAGAGAAAGGAACCACUCCACGCCAACUCAACUAGCCUUUAAAGUUUAUGCUUCCAAUUUUCUCGAGAAAACAGAAAGUAAAAAGGCUUCCAGACCUCGCAGAAACCUUGCAGUUAUUCAAGUAAACUUUGCACUGAACAGUUCAAGGUAAUAAAUUUAUUCUAUACGUUUAAUCAUUUUAUAUAAAUUUGGAAAGUACAAAAAAAAUCCUUUCACAAAUUUCCUAAAUAUUACUAUAUUUAGGAAAUUUAUAUAGUGUGGUUUCCCCCCCCCCCCCAAGACUAAGCUAACUUCUCUACUUAUUAGUUUAUUAAAAGUUGAAAUUUGCUGCCUAAUUCUGUCAUUAAGUCAAUUUCUUUAUACGUUUUACUUCCAAUGCCAAUUUGUAUUUUGACAGACUUGUAAAAUUAACAGCAAUAUGUUAUAUUUGGUUGUUUCUCCAAGUAAACACAUCCUAAUUAGUCUUAAGCUAUUACAUUAGAUAUUUAGCUAUAAUUAAGCAUAAUUUCCUUUCCUUACAAAUUAUUGUUAGGGUUUAUGGAUGUUCAGCACAAACUUACACCAAGUCCACAUCAAAAAUGAUCAAUUUAAUACAGACAUUUCUUAGGUUUUAUACUACAUGAAUAAUCUUUAGAAAUUAUGCCAAAUUUUAUGAUUCUACUUUUAAAAUGUUUAUCUGAAAGAAAAUCUGCAACAUAAAUAUCAAUGACAUGGCUAGCUUGGUAUAGAGCAAACCAUGAGAAGAAGCUAAACAUAUUAAAUAAUUUAAGGAAAUAUUAGAGGUUACAUUUUCCAAAUGUUUUCUGGUUAGCAUUUCAGCUAACAACCAUCAGUGAAGAAUUUAACAAAACUGAAUAUAUGUAUGCGAUUUUGGACAGAUGUAUAUUUUGUAUAUACUGUAUAUAACAGGAUAUUUUGGACAGGAUAUAACAUGGCCUUACACAUCCUAGCUUGAAGUAGGAUACAUCCUAGCUUGACGCAGGUUAUAUCCUAGCUUGAAGCAGGUUAUAGCCUAGCUUGACGCAGGUUAUAGCCUAGCCUGAAGCAGGUUAUAGCCUAGCUUGACGCAGGUUAUAGCCUGGCUUGAAGCAGGUUAUAGCCUAGCUUGACGCAAGUUAUAGCCUAGCUUGAAGCAGGUUAUAGCCUAGCUUGACGCAGGUUAUAGCCUAGCUUGACGCAGGUUAUAGCCUAGCUUGAAGCAGGUUAUAGCCUGGCUUGAAGCAGGUUAUAGCCUAGCUUAACACAGGUUAUAGCCUAGCUUGACGCAGGUUAUAGCCUGGCUUGAAGCAGGUUAUAGCCUAGCUUGACGCAGGUUAUAGCCUAGCUUGACGCAGGUUAUAGCCUAGCUUGAAGUGGGAAAGAACCCAUCCUGAUCCACAGCAUGAAGUGGUAUCUGUCCUUCAACUCUGCAGAAAAAAAAACUUUUUUGUGGGGCCCAUUUGGAGAGGCCUCUGAAUUUGGAUAUUGUUGUGACAUAAUCAACCUUCAAAUGUAGGCCCUGAAUUUUGACAGACCCACAGGCAACAAACAGCUUGAAGUAGGAUGAAGCCUAGCUUAAACAGCGAUAAAGCCUAGUUUGAGUUGAACCAUAGACCAUCUUAAAAGUUGCAUAAAAUCCAGCUUGAAGUGGGAUAGAACCUAGCAUAAUUUCAUUAGGCUAACUACUAGUUGAGGUAAAAAGUUAUAGUUUUGGAAAGCAAAACUUUCACAGUUUCAUAUGUUACAAAAAUGAUAAAAAAUUGGGGUUCAUAUAGUGGCCAAAAGCUGUUUUAUAGUCACUUAACAAAAAUAGGUUGUCCAUAUGAUUUAUGUUAGCAAGCAAAUUUAGCCGUCUUCCUGCUUUUCGUCUUUAUGCUAAACAAAUCCAAGCUAAGAACAUAAAAAAAAAAUUAAAACAUGUGAGACUCAUGGACACGCAAAAUUAUGAACUAUGAUUAAUGCAAAUAAUUAAAAAAAAGCAACUGAGUUUCUUGUAUCAUAAUGAAUUAGCAUCAUGUGCUCACGCUGGUUAGCAUUUUCAGCAGCCAGUUUUUAAAAUUCGAAAGCAGCAGGCUUUUAGUGGGGAAGGAGAAAGAUUUAUGUUGCUCAUGACAAACAUCAUACUGUUACUAAACAGUACAUGCAACCCUUUGUCGCACAGCAUUCACACACUGUACAAAACACACACAAGACUCAGGCAAAAAUAACAUCUGGAUACAUUUCUGAAUACUUAUAAAAGAGGAGUAUUUUCCGCUGCCGCCAGUAGCGACUGUUCAAGUGUCGGUCGGGUAAUCUGAACUAAGCACACUCCACAAAUAUUGGCACUGUGUACAGUAUAUCUCACACACAAACACACCGACUGCAUAUCUUUUUGUAAAGCUUAAAAAUGUCUCUUUAAUGUCACUUUAAAAUCUCUCAAUUUUCAAAAGAUGACGAAGAAAAGAAAAAAAAAAAAAGAAAGUCCUGACAAUAAAGUUAGUUAUUUUCCUUUUUUGUUAAAAUAGGAUCACUCUGGGAUGGUAGUGCAACGCCUCUCAUUUGGAAACAUGAAGCACAUUUUUUAUUUUCAUGUUUACUCCACAAACUCCUCUAUGGCAGAAGGAAGGCUCAGGCUUCAAGAUGAAG